GCCCACGAUGGCUACAGAGCUCCAAGGAGGAGGCUUCCCGGAGGAGGCGGCCCAGCUCAUCAGAGAACCAGCAUGUCUUCCCCUUGGGUUCUGGGACCAGUACUUUUAACGAUAAGUCCUUUUGGACCACGCUGAUCCGGGCUGAGACCCUGUCGCCUGCCGCGCGCCUUGGGCGGAGGUUAGACGGGCCGCGCACCUCCAAGCUUUGACACGUCCUUCCUCCAAAGGGUGGAGGCCCCACAGGGACCUCUGCCAUCGGAACCGCGGGUUUCUGAUGGGCCGGAGGCGCCUGAGAGAUCUCCGCGGAACGGCGCGUGAACCUGCGGCCGCGGCGGCGGGUCCGGAUGGAGACGGACGCGGGAUGGGCUGUUUCCUGAGUUUGGUUCCCGUGGCGGGGUCGGUCCCUCGCCCCUGCAUUUGGCAGACCUGAUGCGGAGCCCGAGGGUGGCUGUUGGCCUGGGGCGGGGAAGGGGCUCUCUAGAUCGGGGGUCCCACCUGCUGGGCUUGGGGAGCCUAUUUGGCCUUGUCUGAUUGGUCUGGAGUUGCAGGUGGGGCCACCUCAGAAAGCUGCUGUAUCUGAGGGAGCCCGGGCCGCCCUGGGGGGACGCUGGGGUUUGACUUCUGGGGCUGGGGGCUGCACGGGUGGGUCGGGGUCUGUCUGGGUUGGGGUCCGCGGCCGCGUGGGGUCUGGGUCCGGGUCUGCCUGGCUUGGGGGUCCUCAGCCGCAUGCAGUUUGGGUCGGGGUCUGCAGCUGCGUGGGGUCCGGCUCUCAUGGCCCCUGUGCCUGGACUUCGCUCUC
rnacentral:lncRNA from 1 species